rnacentral:tmRNA from 1 species
GGGGCUGAUUCUGGAUUCGACGGGAUUUGCGAAACCCAAGGUGCAUGCCGAGGGGCGGUUGGCCUCGUAAAAAGCCGCAAAAAAUAGUCGCAAACGACGAAAACUACGCUUUAGCAGCUUAAUAACCUGCUUAGAGCCCUCUCUCCCUAGCCUCCGCUCUUAGGACGGGGAUCAAGAGAGGUCAAACCCAAAAGAGAUCGCGUGGAAGCCCUGCCUGGGGUUGAAGCGUUAAAACUUAAUCAGGCUAGUUUGUUAGUGGCGUGUCCGUCCGCAGCUGGCAAGCGAAUGUAAAGACUGACUAAGCAUGUAGUACCGAGGACGUAGGAAUUUCGGACGCGGGUUCAAC